rnacentral:tRNA from 1 species
UUAAAUGAAGCAGAUUGCAUUUAACUGUUAAUUAAAAGGAAACCUAUAAGGUCAUUUAAA